rnacentral:tRNA from 1 species
GGAUAGCUCAGUUGGUAGAGCACAAGACUCUUAAUCUCAGGGUUGUGGAUUCAAGCCCCACACUGGGGGCA